rnacentral:rRNA from 1 species
GCGUGCCUAAUACAUGCAAGUCGAGCGAACGGACGAGAAGCUUGCUUCUCUGAUGUUAGCGGCGGACGGGUGAGUAACACGUGGAUAACCUACCUAUAAGACUGGGAUAACUUCGGGAAACCGGAGCUAAUACCGGAUAAUAUUUUGAACCGCAUGGUUCAAAAGUGAAAGACGGUCUUGCUGUCACUUAUAGAUGGAUCCGCGCUGCAUUAGCUAGUUGGUAAGGUAACGGCUUACCAAGGCAACGAUGCAUAGCCGACCUGAGAGGGUGAUCGGCCACACUGGAACUGAGACACGGUCCAGACUCCUACGGGAGGCAGCAGUAGGGAAUCUUCCGCAAUGGGCGAAAGCCUGACGGAGCAACGCCGCGUGAGUGAUGAAGGUCUUCGGAUCGUAAAACUCUGUUAUUAGGGAAGAACAUAUGUGUAAGUAACUGUGCACAUCUUGACGGUACCUAAUCAGAAAGCCACGGCUAACUACGUGCCAGCAGCCGCGGUAAUACGUAGGUGGCAAGCGUUAUCCGGAAUUAUUGGGCGUAAAGCGCGCGUAGGCG